AUGGCGGAAAACUCAAGGGCCGGCAGUUCAAGCAUCCAUGAUCUGUUGCAGGAAUUCCUAGUGCAGCAACAGCAUGUCGAUAUGCUGUGGCAUGAGACGAUGGAGCGGCGCGCCCAGGAGCGGCUCAUUUUCGAACAAGAAUGGAGGCAGUCGAUGCAGAAGCUUGAGCAGGAGAGGCUGAUGCUGGAGCAGUCAUGGAUAGAGCGAGAGGAACAGCGAAGGAUGAGGGAAGAAGCAAGGGCUCAGAAGAGGGAUUCGCUCAUGACCACCCUGCUGAACAAACUCUUACAAGAAGAUCUAUAG
rnacentral:rRNA from 1 species